ensembl:rRNA 5S_rRNA 5S ribosomal RNA
AGCAGCAGCCAUAUCACUCUGCAACUCACAACUGGCAACCCACUGAAGCUAAGCAGGUGUGAGCCUGGUCAGUACCUGAAUGAGAGACCUCCUGGGAAAAACUAAGGUUGCUGCUGGAA